GCGGGCCUGGCCUGGCAGGAAGUGACGUGCUCCCUGCGCUCCUGCGGGCUCCAAUCUCUGUGUGAGCUAGUGCUGGCGGCAGAGUCAAAACAAGAACCUCUCCGCCCUGUCUCUGGCCUGUGUCGAGGUUGUCACUACCUCGCCUGGGUUGUCAGCUUGUGAAGCUGUGUUUCCUCUUCGAGGACGGCGGACCACCAGUUUAAACUAAGGCCACUUACCGUCUCUUUUUUUGAGGCACAUUAUUGUAAUGCUGUGUUCAAAAAGCAGAAUGCAUCAAAAACAAGAAAGGAAAUAAUACCCGAUCCCAAUAAUGGACCGCCUGUCACCAUGCUAUGAAGAGAUGGAAUGGACAAGAGUCUACCUUGGCAUAAAGGAAAGACCAAAGAGGAACAUCAAUGCAGAGAAGAAUUGAGAUCAAGGAGGAGGUCUUUGAGCUCUGUAUUCCCAGUACCCUGAACAGGGACUCACACAUAAGUACCCUUAGAUGAAUGCCUGAAUGAAAGCUGCUCUCUAUACCAAUGAAGCAGAAUAGUUUCAAUGUGUAUACACAAGCUAGUUAUUGAUUUUUCCUGAAAACUUUAUGCUGUAUGUAAAAAGAUUGCAUAAGUCACAUGAUGCACAAAUGGUUAUGAAAGGAAAAGACAUCGUACUGAAAAAUAUGAAUCAGGUAAGAGAAAUACAAACCAACCCAUUUUAGAUGUUACUCACUCUAAUUAUUAGAGAAUCCACAUAUCAAAUUCCCUUCUAUAGGGUCCCAACCAAUUGAACAGGAUACACAGUAAUUACUGCAGCAUUAGAUCCUAACAGUGUCGGAGUCCAGCUCCAACAGGGGGUCUCAGGAGACGAACAGAUGGUGAGGAGUCGGCGAAAGGGGGUGGAGAAACAACACAGACACCAAAGUGAAGGUGUUAAUCUCAAUCUUUACUUGUGAAGUUGAUCAUAUAUACUUUUCAUUUUGACAGGCUCACAGUACUUUGUGGUACAAAACAGGAAUCAUUAUUCAAAGAAACAGAAUAUUACGUAGCUACAAUUAGAAUAGAAGAAUGUAUCUUGGCUUAUGCAUAAGCAAGCAUUUUUCCUUUCAGUUCGCGUUUUGCUUUGAGCUGUUUCUGUUUAGUUAACUUUUAAUAAUAGUUAGAAAUGUCCCAACUAUUGGCCUAUACCUUGACUAUUCUUUCUUGACUUACUGACUGGAACCGGUGCCAUGGUUACAGCAAGUGGUUAACUUGUUGAAGAGUAAAAGCACAAGUCAUUGUGCACAGGAACAAGAACAAGUUGCCCAGUACUAAGCACUAAUCUGUCUUCUUAACAUUAAUUCUUCUUCUCUAGAUUUUAAUUUAAUUUCUCAAAAACUUCCUUGACAGGAAUACAGGGAGUUUUUCAUUAGACAUUAACAAUUUAUGCUCUACAGCUGAAUCAUUGCAUAGAGCAAACAGAUCUACUCUUAGAAGUAGUUGCAUUAAUUGGGAAAGUCAUGUUUUUUCCUUCAUACUUAAUGGUCAUAUGAGAAAUCACAACUAUACUUAUUAAAGGAAUACAAAAACAAACCAGCCCAUUCCCAGAAACAUACUGCACUCCUCCAGAGGAUGGACGCCUUGCGCCAUCCACCUCAGUAGGGCCUUGCCAUUGCCUGAGUCAGGGGAGGCGCGCAGCAUAACAGAGCCUCCUUUCUAGUUUACCCACAUUCUCAGCCAAAGGGUAGAGGCCCAGACACAGGGGUCCCACUUUGGCUUAACUCCAGGAUUUUUCCAAGUGUGAGCCCUUCUUCCUUCCCCUUUACACAGAAAUUUUGUAUUCUCAUUCUGCAGGAUGCUGAAAUUCUCCCCAAACUGACUCUGGUUCUGCUCUAAUAUAUCCUUGUUUUAAUGACAGUUUAUCUGUUUAUUUUCCAGUCAUUUAUCUAUUAAGUCUGUUCUUAAAUCUGAAAGUUAUCCUAUCUUACUUAGCAAUUUACACAAAAUAAAGAUCUCCUCCUUGAAAAUAUUCCUAGCAAUGAAUUACUAACAGGACUUCCUUUACUUUCCUGAAAGUUACCUUACUAAUACAAUUAGGAUAGAAGGUGAAAUGAUUCAAUUAAGGUAAUGUUGCCGAAUUCCUCCUUCCUUCACUCAUAACACCUCAGGGCACUGAUUUGGGAGAGAUCCCACGGUAGUAGCAUCUAUUUCUUCAUUCUACCCUGCCCUACACAACCUUGUCCUGAGUGAAUAUUCUUGGUUCUUCUCCUGCCUCAGCCUCUGGCUUGAACUGAACCAGUUUCUUUUUCCUCCUUCCUCUUGGCAAGUCCCUGCGUUUGACAUUUGAAACUCAAUAUAAUUUAAAACCCACCUUGCAGUUUUCUGUAGUACUGUAUGGUGCCUAUUAUAACUGAAUUGAUAUGAAAAGCUCA